rnacentral:rRNA from 1 species
GUUGCGGUUAAAAAGCUCGUAGUUGGAUUUCUGUUGAGGAUGGGCGGUCUCUACUCUCGUAGAUGCAUUUGUCACAGCCUCGGCAUCCUCUUGAAGAACGGUUCUGUGAUUCAUUUCGUGGUCCGGAAUUCAAGACUUUUACUUUGAGGAAAUUAGAGUGUUCACGGCAAGCAAUCGCUUUGAAUACAUUAGCAUGGAAUAAUAAUAUAGGACCUUGGUACUAUUUUGUUGGUUUCUAGAACUAAGGUAAUGAUUAAUAGGGAUAAUUGGGGGCAUUCGUAUUAACGCGUCAGAGGUGGAAUUCUUGGAUUGCGUUACGACGAACUACUGCGAAAGCAUUUGCCAAGGAUGUUUUCAUUGAUCAAGAACGAAAGUAUGGGGAUCGAAGACGAUUAGAUACCGUCAUAGUCUAUACCAUAAACUAUGCCAACUAGAGAUUGGAGGUCGUUAAUACUAUGACUCCUUCAGCACCUUAUGAGAAAUCAAAGUCUUUGGGUUCCGGGGGGAGUAUGGUCGCAAGGCUGAAACUUAAAGGAAUUGACGGAAGGGCACCACCAGGAGUGGAGCCUGCGGCUUAAUUUGACUCAACACGGGAAAACUUACCAGGUUCCAGACAUAGGUAA